rnacentral:rRNA from 1 species
CAGUCGCCGCGGGAACACGUAGGUGGCAAGCGCUGUCCGGAAUUAUUGGGCGUAAAGCGCGCGCAGGCGGCCUAUCCAGUCUGUCUUAAAAGUUCGGGGCUCAACCCCGUGAUGGGAUGGAAACUAGUAGGCUAGAGUAUCGGAGAGGAAAGCGGAAUUCCUAGCGUAGCGGUGAAAUGCGUAGAUAUUAGGAAGAACACCAGUGGCGAAGGCGGCUUUCUGGAUGAAAACUGACGCUGAGGCGCGAAAGCCAGGGGAGCGAACGGGAUUAGAUACCCCCGUAGUCCCUGUCUCUUAUACA